AUUGAACGCUGGCGGCAGGCCUAACACAUGCAAGUCGAGCGGAUGAAGGGAGCUUGCUCCUGGAUUCAGCGGCGGACGGGUGAGUAAUGCCUAGGAAUCUGCCUGGUAGUGGGGGAUAACGUCCGGAAACGGGCGCUAAUACCGCAUACGUCCUGAGGGAGAAAGUGGGGGAUCUUCGGACCUCACGCUAUCAGAUGAGCCUAGGUCGGAUUAGCUAGUUGGUGGGGUAAAGGCCUACCAAGGCGACGAUCCGUAACUGGUCUUAGAGGAUGAUCAGUCACACUGGAACUGAGACACGGUCCAGACUCCUACGGGAGGCAGCAGUGGGGAAUAUUGGACAAUGGGCGAAAGCCUGAUCCAGCCAUGCCGCGUGUGUGAAGAAGGUCUUCGGAUUGUAAAGCACUUUAAGUUGGGAGGAAGGGCAGUAAGUUAAUACCUUGCUGCUUUGACGUUACCAACAGAAUAAGCACCGGCUAACUUCGUG
rnacentral:rRNA from 1 species